AUGAGAUGGAAUCAGCGUUUGGACAUGCGAUUUCACGCUGAUUCCAUCUCAUGA
rfam:Solanum lycopersicum cultivar Heinz 1706 chromosome 8, whole genome shotgun sequence.